GCCCAUGUAGCUCAGUUGGUAGAGCACAUCCAUGGUAAGGAUGAGGUCAUCGGUUCGAAGCCGAUCAUGGGCU
rnacentral:tRNA from 1 species